rnacentral:lncRNA from 10 species
GUUCAAGCGUGAUGGUGCAUAUGAGAGAUAUUGAGCAGAUAUUUAUUCAAACACCUACCAUAAACUGAAAAGUUAAUUUAAUUGCUCUGAGCUUUUGAAAUAGCCUCCAAACUGUUACCAGAAUGACCUUUCUUCAAUUACUUCUGACCUUGUCAAUGACCUGAUUUUAACCCUUUAAUGGUAGCCUCCUAUCUACAGGAUGAACAUCAGUGUCCUUGCUCAUCCAAGAUCAACUGCAGAGGAGGACGAGGGAAAUUUUAUAUGGGAACAAUUAUCUGAAAAAUAGAAUGUCCUCAUUUGUAUGGUCAAGGCUGGGUUGCAGAGAAGUCCAUGUUGCAGCUCAUGGAAAAAAAGAACCAAAGGGACUCAAGAACACUGGCUUAUGUCUUAGAUUGGAGAUGACCUGGAAAGUCAACUUUCACCCAUAACCCAUUGGCCUAAAACAAUAGAAGGCAACUGGAAAAGAGGCAAGGAUUCUAACUACAUACUGCAGAAAAAAUAUUCACACCUGUCAAAUUCCAACAGCUGGCAUUGUUGUUGUUCUACGAAUAAGCACACACAGAAUCCUCGUGAAUAGUUCUUUGUCUCUUGCUCUAGUAAAUCAUAACCUGCUUGUAGCUUUUUUAUGAACCUUCAGGAAUAACUCUUCAGAGGAUGCUAAUACAUCAUUAAGAUUAAAUUGAACCUCAAAGGUGGGUUUUUUUUCCAAAAUGAUAAAGGCCACCAACACUGCAAGGUUUGCCGUCAUUCCCUUGAUCUGGUAAGUGACACCGUCUUCAGGGUUUGUGUACUCAAAGAUAUGAUUAAUAAAACGGUGACCAAGACGUGUGACGUAAUGCUGGUCAUGGACCUGUGGAUGCAGGAAAUAGGCCAGAGGCACCAGGAAUACAUCCUUAACUUCAGCAGGAUUCGGCUGGGCCUGGAAGUUGUGGUCUAUUAAACCCACAAAUGGAGUUAUCAAUGUAUCUGUCUAAAAGCAGAAAACAAAACAGACAAAUUAAGAAGUGAAGUGAUACUGCUUCAAAUCCUAAAAUCAUGCCACUUCUAGGUGAGCUAAGAAAAUACACCGAACCUGGGAGAAGGGGAAGAAAGCUUAUUCCGGAAACAAAUUUAUGUUCCCCCUAAAAUGGGAGUCAUCCUGCUCUACCUGAGGUGACAUCUAUGAGAUGACUCUGAAAAUGAUUUCUUGUAUGAACAUAAAGUAGUACAAUCUUUUGGAAUGGCAAUUUGGCAGUAUCAUAAAAAUGUGUUCGCUUUGACCUGGGAAUUGCAUUUGUGUAUCUGUAUGAUAAAUUCCUACCAGUAAGAAAAGACACAAGUAUAAACCUGAAGAAUUAGUUUCAACAACAGCCCCAAAUUCUAAAGUUAUCACUCUUCACUUUAUAGGCAUUUAGGUUAUAUAAAUUAGGGUUAUAUCCAUAAAAGAGGAUACUAUGUAGCCUUUAAAAACAAUGGGAUAGACAUCUUUCCUUCUCAGUAAAGAAAAAAAUGUGCUAUACUUAUGAACAGAAAAGUAAAGUGAUAUAAUACUAGUUAUGACAUAUUCCCAUUUAUGGAAAAAUUUCAUAGUACAUACACAUAUAUAUAUAAUUAUGUGUCUUAUAUAUAACUAUAUGUGAACUACUUUAUAUAACACACAUGUAUAUAUUACAUGGGAGAGGGAUUUCUAUUUACAACCACAACUGCUUGCAAAUGAACAUGAGUGGCCGGGUGUGGUGGCUCACGCCUGUAAUCCCAGCACUUUGGGAGGCUGAGGUGGGCGGACCACCUGAGGUCAGGAGUUUGAGACCAGCCUAGCCAACAUGAUGAAAUCCCGUCUCUACUAAAAAUACACAAAUUAGCCGGGUGUGGUGGUGCGUGCCUGUAAUCCCAGCUACUCAGGAGGCUGAGGCAGGAGAAUUGCUUGAACUUGGGAGGCGGAGAUAGAUUGCAGUGAGCCGAGAUCAUGCCACUGCACUCCAGCCUGGGUGACAGAGAGAGGCCCAGUCUCAAAAAUAAAAAUAAAUAUAUAAAAGUAAAAAAGCAAAUGAACAUGAGUGUUGUCAAAUGAAAGACUGUUUUGUUAUACUGGAAACCCUGAGAGGGAGGCCUGGGGCUGAGUGAGGAUGUGGGAACUGGUAAGAGCUGCCUGCCUUUGUAUUAGAAAGUGAGAAGAACUGGAAUUCCUGGAGCAUCCCAAGAGGAAGUGGGUGGAAAAAGCCAGAGAGGUAGACACAUGGUGAGGCUGGGACCUAUCCGGCCUGCAGAAUGUUCUGAGGGACAGCCAAAGACAGGAAACCAAAUUUAGGAACAGAGACAACUCAGACCAUUAACCAAAAUAAUAGUGAAAGUCAACAUUUGGACCAGGAGGAGACAAGAGGAACAUAGACUUCGUAUGUCCUUGGGGCAGGAAAUUUGGGGUCAUUAAGUUACCCGAGGGCAGAGGCAACAUUCUACCAGCACGUAACACCACACCUGGCAUUGGGGAAAUGCUUAGUCUCUGAAUAUGGAGUUUUCCAGGUGGACUCUGAGAUAAGGACUCAGAUGCAAGUGAUUUUUUAAGAAAGUGCUCCCAGGGGAAACAGUUAAGGGGAAGAGGGGAGCAAUACUCAUAAGGGAAGAAGGCUGGCAAGGGCACCAUGGGGUGUUCUGGAGGGUAAAUUAAUAUGCAGUUUGUCCCACAUGGAGACAAGGGAGCUGGGAUUUCAUGCUCCCCAGCCCCAGUCAGUCACUGGUUAAGGACUACCUUGCCAGAGGUGAAUUCACAGGCACUCCCAGCUCUCUGUGCAGGACACAUGGCAAGGUGGCUCCAGUAUCAAGGGUACCAGUAUUCAGAAGAAAGCUGCCAAGUGUUGUCAGAGGCGUUUGAACCAGAGCAACUCCAUCUUGAAUAGGGGCUGGGUAAGAUAAGGCUUGGAGCUACUGGGCUGCAUUCCCAGGAGGUUAGGGCAUGCUUAGUCACCAGAUGAGACUGAGAUACAAGUCAUAAAGACCUUACAGUAAAGAAGGCCAUCAAAACGCACCAAAACCAAGAUGGCAAUGAAAGUAACCUCUGGUCAUCCUCACUGCUCAUUAUACGAUAAUUAGAAAGCAUUAGAAUGUUAAAAGAUACUCCCACUAGUGCCAUGACAGAUUACAAAUGCCACGGCAAUGUCAGGAAGUUACCCUACAUGGUCUAAAAAUGGGAGGAACUCUCACCUCUGGGAAUUGCCCAUCCCUUUCCUGGAAAACUCAUGAAUAACCCACCCCUUGUUUAGCAUAUGAUCAAGAAAUAACCAUAAAAAUGGCCAACCAGCAGCACAUGCUGUUGCUCUGUUAUGGAAUAGCCAUUCUUUUUUUUCUUUACUUCUCUAAUAAACUUGCUUUCACUUUAUGGACUCACCCUGUGAGAUCCUAGAACCCUCUCUUAGGGUCUGGAUCAGGCCCCCUAUCUGGUAACAGUGAGUUAUCAGAAGCCCUGGGGUUGUAAGAGGAAUAUGAAGGGGCCUGGACAGAGCCCCAACAAUGUAUGCUCAGUAAAUAUUCGUGGUUGCUGCUACCAUUGGUGACCACAACUUACGGGCACCUAGUCUAGUUCCCAGCACCCUCUGAUUCCUUACAACAAUCUGAUCGCGAAGAAGCCUUAACAACUACAAUUAGAGACGUGAAGAAACUUGCCCAAGGGCAUAUUCUGCUGAUACUUGGCAGAAACUGGAUUCGACCACAGAUGUGUUGCUCAUACUCCUGGGUAUAUUUCAGAGACCUUUGCAAAAAGUAGUACAUAAAUGUCUGACAAAAGGGAAAACUGGGGUGGGGGUUGUGGUGUCACAGCCUGCCUGGAAGGCUUAUGUAGCGGGUACAUACAUAGGUGCAUACAUACAUAGGUAGCUACUCUGGAGGCUGAGGCAGGAGAAUUGCUUGAACUUGGGAGGUGGAGGUUGCAGUGAGCUGAGAUCACUGGGACUCGAGAUCACUUGAGAAAAGCCAAUAGCACCCUUCCACUCCCAGCUAUGAUCUCCAGACAUUACCAAAUUCCCCAGGGUUGAAAAAUCACUCCAGGUUAAGAGCCACGUAGAUUAGAUUAUGCUUAUAAUUUUCAAUAAAUGGCAUUUUUGUGAUACAUUUUAAAAAUUAGCAGGGGCCAAAAAACAAAGCAACCCUCCCUUGCACUUCCAAACAAAGCAGACUUUUUAAAGCCUUUGUUUAAUCUCUCAAUCACGCCAUUUUAGAAAUCUCCUGUUCCAGGAGUAUCUGGCCCCCAGGAAUCUCCCAGAGACACUUUCCUGUUAAUGCUCCUGAAUUCUAUCCACCCACAUGCAGAACUCAGUAGCACCUGGGGACCUUGGGAACAGAGUUAGUCUCAUUUUGGAAACUUUUAAUCAGUAUAGCUAAAUUAGUUAAUUGAUUUCUAAAGUAAAUCCUCCAAAUGCUGGUGGAUUUGCGGAAAUCAACUGUAAAGAGUUCCCAUUAGAAAACCAAAUGGAAAAGUAAUUGACACAUUUCGUGUGUAAUCCCAUGUCUCCAUCUCGCUUUCAUACACACACACUUAGAAAACAUUUAUUGAGUGGCCACUAGCUUUUUGCAAACAAAACCACCCUUGGGUACUGACCUUUCUAUUUUUAAAAAGGACCCAAUUAAGACAGACAUUGUCUCAGCAUCACUGAUCUUCAAAACACUGCCCCACCAAGACUUCAGUCAAGUGGAACAUAAAGGAUCAUCUAACCCACUGGUUUUCUAAGUGUUAGGCAACAGUGGGACU